rnacentral:rRNA from 1 species
CCUACGGGGGGCAGCAGUGGGGAAUAUUGGACAAUGGGGGGAACCCUGAUCCAGCCAUGCCGCGUGUGUGAAGAAGGCCCUUGGGUUGUAAAGCACUUUCAGUGAGGAAGAACGCCUGGUGGUUAAUACCCAUCAGGAAAGACAUCACUCACAGAAGAAGCACCGGCUAACUCCGUGCCAGCAGCCGCGGUAAUACGGAGGGUGCGAGCGUUAAUCGGAAUUACUGGGCGUAAAGCGCGCGUAGGUGGCUUGAUAAGCCGGUUGUGAAAGCCCCGGGCUCAACCUGGGAACGGCAUCCGGAACUGUCAAGCUAGAGUGCAGGAGAGGAAGGUAGAAUUCCCGGUGUAGCGGUGAAAUGCGUAGAGAUCGGGAGGAAUACCAGUGGCGAAGGCGGCCUUCUGGACUGACACUGACACUGAGGUGCGAAAGCGUGGGUAGCAAACAGGAUUAGAUACCCUAGUAGUC